UACGUAGGGUGCGAGCGUUGUCCGGAAUUAUUGGGCGUAAAGAGCUUGUAGGCGGUUUGUCGCGUCUGCUGUGAAAUCUCAAGGCUCAACCUUGAGCUUGCAGUGGGUACGGGCAGACUAGAGUGUGGUAGGGGAGACUGGAAUUCCGUGGUGAUAGCGGUGAAAUGCGCAGAUAUCAGGAGGAACACCGAGUGGCGAAGGCAGGUCUCUGGGC
rnacentral:rRNA from 1 species